rnacentral:rRNA from 1 species
AGAGUUUGAUCCUGGCUCAGGACGAACGCUGGCGGCGUGCUUAACACAUGCAAGUGGUGCGACGAACCAGGGCUUGCCCUGGGGCAGAGCCGCGAACGGGUGAGUAACACGUGGGUAACGUGCCCCAAUGAUCGGGACAACCCGGGGAAACCCGGGCUAAUACCGAAUGUGCUCCCCUCACACCAGUGAGGGAUGGAAAGGAAGCUUCGGCCUCCGCAUUGGGAUCGGCCCGCGGCCCAUUAGCUUGUUGGUGAGGUAACGGCUCACCAAGGCUGCGAUGGGUAGCUGGUCUGAGAGGACGAUCAGCCACACUGGGACUGAGACACGGCCCAGACUCCUACGGGAGGCAGCAGUGGGGAAUCUUGCGCAAUGCGCGAAAGCGUGACGCAGCAACGCCGCGUGGGGGAAGAAGGCCUUCGGGUUGUAAACCCCUUUCAGGAGGGACGAAGGUUGGGCGGUUAAUAGUCGACCUGACUGACGGUACCUCCAGAAGAAGCCCCGGCUAACUACGUGCCAGCAGCCGCGGUAAUAC